rnacentral:rRNA from 1 species
AGUCGAGCGGCAGCACGGGGGCAACCCUGGUGGCGAGCGGCGAACGGGUGAGUAANACAUCGGAACAUGCCCAGUCGUGGGGGAUAACACUUCGAAAGAAGUGCUAAUACCGCAUACGUCCUGAGGGAGAAAGCGGGGGAUCGCAAGACCUCGCGCGAUUGGAGUGGCCGAUGUCAGAUUAGCUAGUUGGUGGGGUAAAGGCCUACCAAGGCAACGAUCUGUAGCUGGUCUGAGAGGAUGAUCAGCCACACUGGGACUGAGACACGGCCCAGACUCCUACGGGAGGCAGCAGUGGGGAAUUUUGGACAAUGGGGGCAACCCUGAUCCAGCCAUUCCGCGUGAGUGAAGAAGGCCUUCGGGUUGUAAAGCUCUUUCGGCAGGAACGAAACGGUGAGCUCUAACAUAGCUUGCUAAUGACGGUACCUGAAAAAGAAGCACCGGCUAACUACGUGCCAGCAGCCGCGGUAAUACGUAGGGUGCGAGCGUUAAUCGGAAUUACUGGGCGUAAAGCGUGCGCAGGCGGUUGUGUAAGACAGGUGUGAAAUCCCCGGGCUUAACCUGGGAACUGCGCUUGUGACUGCACAGCUAGAGUAUGGCAGANGGGGGUGGAAUUCCACGUGUANCAGUGAAAUGCGUAGAGAUGUGGAGGAACACCGAUGGCGAAGGCAGCCCCCUGGGCCAAUACUGACGCUGANGCACGAAAGCGUGGGGAGCAAACAGGAUUANNUACCCUGGUAGUCCACGCCCUNNNCNAUGUCNACNANGUGUUCG